CAGCCGCCGCGGUAAUACGAAGGGUGCAAGCGUUAAUCGGAAUUACUGGGCGUAAAGCGUGCGUAGGCGGUGAGUUAAGUCUGCUGUGAAAUCCCCGGGCUCAACCUGGGAAUGGCAGUGGAUACUGGCUCGCUAGAGUGUGUCAGAGGAUGGUGGAAUUCCCAGUGUAGCGGUGAAAUGCGUAGAGAUCGGGAGGAACAUCAGUGGCGAAGGCGGCCAUCUGGGACAACACUGACGCUGAGGCACGAAAGCGUGGGGAGCAAACAGGAUUAGAUACCCCCGUAGUCCCUGUCUCUUAUAC
rnacentral:rRNA from 1 species